rnacentral:pre_miRNA from 1 species
GUAGUACUCCCUCCGUUCGGAAUUACUUGUCGUAGAAAUGGAUGUAUCUAGAUGUAUUUUAGUUCUAGAUACAUCCAUUUCCGAGACAAGUAAUUCCGAACGGAGGGAGUAGAUU